rnacentral:rRNA from 1 species
AUGCCUACCUUCGCGCUCACCGUCCUCCGUGUCCCAAAGAAGAUCCUCAGAGAGAUUGACAAGUGCAGGCGACGCUUCCUUUGGCGCCAAGAUGAAGAGAUCACGGGUGCCAGCUGCAAGGUCAACUGGCCGACGGUGUGUGCCCCCACGAAGCAUGGAGGCCUUGGCAUCUCCGACCUGCAGCGCUUCGGUAGGGCACUACGGCUUCGUUGGCUCUAG